UGGGGAAUAUUGCGCAAUGGGGGAAACCCUGACGCAGCAACGCCGCGUGAAGGAUGAAGGCUUUCGGGUUGUAAACUUCUUUGAUCGGGGACGAAAAUGACGGUACCCGAGGAACAAGCCACGGCUAACUACGUGCCAGCAGCCGCGGUAAUACGUAGGUGGCAAGCGUUGUCCGGAAUUACUGGGUGUAAAGGGCGUGUAGGCGGGACGGCAAGUCAGAUGUGAAAUACCUCGGCUUAACUGGGGUGCUGCAACUGAAACUGUCGUUCUUGAGUGUCGGAGAGGAAAGUGGAAUUCCCAGUGUAGCGGUGAAAUGCGUAGAGAUUGGGAGGAACACCAGUGGCGAAGGCGGCUUUCUGGACGAUAACUGACGCUGAGGCGCGAAAGCGUGGGUAGCAAACA
rnacentral:rRNA from 1 species